UACGGGGGGGGCAAGCGUUGUUCGGAAUUACUGGGCGUAAAGGGCGCGUAGGCGGAUGUUUAAGUCGGGGGUGAAAGCCCAGGGCUCAACCCUGGAACUGCCUUCGAUACUGGACAUCUUGAGUACGGGAGAGGUGAGUGGAACUCCGAGUGUAGAGGUGAAAUUCGUAGAUAUUCGGAAGAACACCAGUGGCGAAGGCGGCAUCCUGGACCGGCAUUGACGCUGAGGCGCGAAAGCCAGGGGAGCAAACGGG
rnacentral:rRNA from 1 species